rnacentral:lncRNA from 1 species
CAAUACUGCUGUGCAUUUUUUGUACUUUUCGGACUAAGAAAUCUCAAAUAUAAAUAUCAACAUAAACCAAAAUCAUGCCUGAAGAAUAAACAACUACAAAAAACCAAUCUUAACCUUCAAUGAACAGACUAAGAAAUCCCCAAGAAGCUAUUGAGAUCAAAUACGAAAUCAACAAGGAAGAUAAAGAAACUCAACAGAAAAAUAUUUUUUUAUGAACUAUCUGUGAAAUGUACAAAUUCGCUUUACAGUAUCUAGAAUUCACAAUAACAGAGACGAUACGAAAAAGGGUUUAUGCAGUAGCAUAAUUGUCUACUUACAUGCCCAGUAGCAAGUCAACAAUUUCAGCAAUAAAUGAGUUCACUAAAAUCUUCCUUUUAGUGAAAACAAGAAAGAGAAAAACAACCAGCAGAAAAGGUUUCAAAAAUGGAUAUAAUUAUCGGUGAAAGAGUUGGUGAUGGAGACAAGAGGAGGGAGAGAGAGAGUUUGGUAUGUCGAUGCAUACAUGAAUGGUGAUUUUCCGAUAAACAAUAUUGUGCAAAGAAAAAGAGUGACGGAUGAUUGAAGGCAACGGGAUGGAGAUCGGACUUUACUGUCGGAUCUGCACGGUUGCCGGAUUUGAAUGGCUGCACCACUACUGGAAAUGGAGGCCAG